rnacentral:tRNA from 4 species
UGGGCUAUAGCCAAGCGGUAAGGCAACGGAUUUUGAUUCCGUCACGCGUUGGUUCGAAUCCAGCUAGCCCAGCCA